rnacentral:rRNA from 1 species
AGGACGAACGCUGGCGGCGUGCCUAACACAUGCAAGUUGAGCGACGAACCAGGGCUUGCCCUGGGGCAAAGCAGCGAACGGGUGAGUAACACGUGGGUAACCUGCCCCGAUAACCGGGACAACCCGAGGAAACUCGGGCUAAUACCGGAUGUGCUCGUCAGACCCAAGUCUGACGCGUAAAGGAAGCUUCGGCCUCCGUAUCGGGAGGGGCCCGCGGCCCAUUAGUUAGUUGGUGAGGUAACGGCUCACCAAGACCGCGAUGGGUAGCUGGUCUGAGAGGACGACCAGCCACACUGGGACUGAGACACGGCCCAGACUCCUACGGGAGGCAGCAGUGGGGAAUCUUGCGCAAUGGGCGAAAGCCUGACGCAGCAACGCCGCGUGGGGGAUGAAUGCCUUCGGGUUGUAAACCCCUUUCAGCAGGGACGAAUCUGACGGUACCUGCAGAAGAAGCCCCGGCCAACUACGUGCCAGCAGCCGC